rnacentral:rRNA from 1 species
GAUGAACGCUGGCGGCGUGCCUAAUACAUGCAAGUCGAGCGAACAGACGAGGAGCUUGCUCCUCUGACGUUAGCGGCGGACGGGUGAGUAACACGUGGAUAACCUACCUAUAAGACUGGGAUAACUUCGGGAAACCGGAGCUAAUACCGGAUAACAUGUUGAACCGCAUGGUUCAACAGUGAAAGACGGUCUUGCUGUCACUUAUAGAUGGAUCCGCGCCGCAUUAGCUAGUUGGUAAGGUAACGGCUUACCAAGGCAACGAUGCGUAGCCGACCUGAGAGGGUGAUCGGCCACACUGGAACUGAGACACGGUCCAGACUCCUACGGGAGGCAGCAGUAGGGAAUCUUCCGCAAUGGGCGAAAGCCUGACGGAGCACCGCCGCGUGAGUGAUGAAGGUCUUCGGAUCGUAAAACGCUGUUAUUAGGGAAGAACAAAUGUGUAAGUAACUAUGCACGUCUUGACGGUACCUAAUCAGAAAGCCACGGCUAACUACGUG